rnacentral:rRNA from 1 species
GAUGAACGCUAGCGGGAGGCUUAACACAUGCAAGUCGUGGGGCAGCAUUUGGUAGCAAUACUGAGAUGGCGACCGGCGCACGGGUGAGUAACGCGUAUGCAACCUACCCUGUACAGGGGGAUAGCCCGGAGAAAUUCGGAUUAAUACCCCAUAAAGAUAUCUGAAGGCAUCUUUAGAUAUUUAAAGUUUCGGCGGUACGGGAUGGGCAUGCGUAACAUUAGCUAGUUGGUAGGGUAACGGCCUACCAAGGCAACGAUGUUUAGGGGUCCUGAGAGGGUGAUCCCCCACACUGGUACUGAGACACGGACCAGACUCCUACGGGUGGCAG